rnacentral:lncRNA from 10 species
UCCCCAUAUAUUCUUUGGAAGCAGUCUUGAGAGGGCUGUACAUCCUCUCGCUUUUUCCUGGAUUCCUGCAGAAGCUGGAUGCUGGCAACCAGUUGGCACUCAUUGAAGAGCUGCACAAGGAAAUCCGGCUCAUAGGGAACGAGAGCAAAGGCGAGCAUGUGCCAGGAUUCUGCCUCCCGAAGAAGGGAGUGACCUCCAUCCUUCCAGUGUUGCGGGAAGGAGUCCUGACUGGCAGCCCUGAGCAGAAGGAGGAGGCAGCCAAAGCCUUAGGCUUGGUAAUCCGCCUGACCUCGGCUGACGCCCUGAGGCCCUCCGUGGUCAGCAUCACUGGCCCUCUGAUCCGCAUCCUGGGGGACAGGUUCAGCUGGAAUGUGAAGGCGGCUCUGCUCGAGACACUCAGCCUCUUGUUGGCUAAGGUUGGGAUUGCCCUGAAGCCCUUCCUGCCCCAGCUGCAGACCACUUUCACCAAAGCCCUGCAGGACUCCAACCGGGGGGUGCGCCUGAAGGCCGCAGAUGCUCUGGGGAAGCUCAUUUCCAUCCACA